GGAAGUGCCCAAGGCCAGGUUGGAUGGAGCUCUGAACACACAGGGAUCAGCAUCUCAGCUGGGGCUUCUGGAUGCGACUCCACUACAAACAAAAUUAAAACCACCAGUCAGCUGGAAUUAAUAGUAUAUAGGAGCCACACUGUUACUCUGCUCACACACAGAAGGACGUGUAGAGGAUGUUAAAUCCCAGCACAAUGCACUGAGAGAAAUGGAUUUUUCCAUAAUUACCAAACCCCUUAGAUAGCAGCUAUCACCAGGAACCAGGAGAGCUCCUGAAAAUAUUGCUCCAACAUUCCUAAUGGAUGGUUUUCCUCGUGGCUACGUCGGCAAGAGCUCAGUGCCAGCUCCCCCCCUCCUCCUGCACUGCAAUACGUAGGAAGCCUUUAUUCCCAAACGGGAGCGUUUGCUUGCUGACAUCACAUGCGCCAUGAACAAAAGAGAUCCUGAUUACAGCAAGAAAUGAAAUGAAGAACGUGGAAGUAAGGGCUAUGCAGCAGUUUGGUUCAAGCCUGAGCCACGGUAAAAUAUUCCCACUUACUGAGACAGGAAGAUAAAAUUAUCGUGCUGGAUUAAAUCCUUUGUCCUUCAGAUGCAGCCUUUCAUCUCUUGUUGCCACUACAGGAUAAAUGAGAAGUUCAAAGCAGAGCUUUGAUUGUCCUUGACCAAGGACUUUGCGGCAGGUGAGGGCUAAAGCCCCACUCUGGUGUAGCACAGAAAGCUGCAUUUCUCUUCCAGCAUCCACUGCCUGUGUCCUGCUCUGAGCCCGUGGUGAGCACACAGUGCUGCAUCCAACCUCCUUAAAAUUCAGGUACACACAAAGCCAGACGACUGAUCCACAUGCCUGUCAUUAAAUGUGCUGUGCUAGAGGCUCUCAUUUCAUUGUCUUUUUACCCAGUGUGAAAGAGGGUUGUAGCCCACCCACCCCCUCAAAAACAAACAAACAAACAAACAGCCCCAACCCUAAAGCUGAAGCUGUUUGUUAUAGAAAACAUAGAUUUUUUAUUAUAAAAGUACAAUUAUGUCAUACGCAAAGGAAUUUUGUGCCACAGG